UGUGGUUAAAAAGCUCGUAGUUGGAUCUCAACAGCCUUGAAGCGGUUAACUUUGUAGUUUUACUGCUUUAUAGGCUGUGCUUUUGCUGGAGGUUUAGGGGUGCUCUUGAUCGAGUGUCUCUGGAUGCCAGCAGGUUUACUUUGAAAAAAUUAGAGUGCUCAAAGCAGGCUAAAAUGCCUGAAUAUUCGUGCAUGGAAUAAUAGAAUAGGAUGUCGAUCCUAUUUUGUUGGUUUUCGGGACUCGACAUAAUGAUAAAUAGGGACAGUCGGGGGCAUUUGUAUUCAAACGACAGAGGUGAAAUUCUUGGACCGUUUGAAGACAAACUACUGCGAAAGCAUUUGCCAAGAAUGUUUUCAUUAAUCAAGAACGAAAGUUAGAGGUUCGAAGGCGAUUAGAUACCGCCCUAGUUCUAACCAUAAACGAUGCCAGCUAGCGAUCUGCCUGCGUUUUUACUGUAGACUGGGCAGGAAGCUUCCGGGAAACCAAAGCAUUUGGGUUCCAGGGGAAGUAUGGUUGCAAAGCUGAAACUUAAAGGAAUUGACGGAAGGGCACCACCAGGAGUGGAGCCUGUGGCUUAAUUUGACUCAACACGGGAAAUCUCACCAGGCCCGGACACUGGAAGGAUUGACAGAUUGAUAGCUCUUUCU
rnacentral:rRNA from 1 species